rnacentral:piRNA from 1 species
UUGCUUGAAAAAACUUUUGUA